rnacentral:tRNA from 1 species
GGUUUUAGCUGGGAAAUAUAAAUUUUGAAAAUUUAUUAGAAGUGUUCAAUUCACUUAAAAACUU